rnacentral:rRNA from 1 species
AUGCCCGCCGCGGCAUUCGCCUCCGCGUUCGCGUCUCCUCCUCCUCCGUGGGCCCCACGACCGCCUCCUCGCCACGCCAGCCUCCGCCUGCCCCCGCCAAGGAGCAGCAGCAACAACAGCGGCGGCGGCGGAGGGGACAAGCCCACCACCUCGUGGGUCAGCCCCGACUGGCUGACGUCGCUGUCUCGCUCGGUGCUCGGCCGGGGGAACGACGACUCGGGGAUACCCGUCGCCUCCGCCAAGCUCGACGACGUGCAGGACCUCCUCGGGGGCGCGCUCUUCCUGCCGCUCUUCAAGUGGUUCCGCGAGGAAGGGCCCGUCUACCGCCUCGCCGCGGGGCCGCGCGACUUCGUCAUCGUCAGCGACCCCGCCGUAGCCAAGCACGUCCUCCGCGGGUACGGCACGCGGUACGAGAAGGGGCUCGUCGCCGAGGUCUCCGAGUUCCUCUUUGGCUCUGGGUUCGCCAUCGCCGAGGGAGCGCUCUGGACGGUGAGACGUAGAGCAGUUGUACCAUCUCUACACAAAAGAUUUCUCUCAGUAAUGGUCGAUAAAGUGUUCUGUAAAUGUGCUGAGAGAUUGGUGGAAAAGCUCGAGACUUAUGCUUUGAGUGGUGAACCUGUUAAUAUGGAAGCGAGGUUUUCGCAAAUGACGUUAGAUGUGAUUGGUUUAUCCUUGUUCAACUACAACUUUGAUUCCCUCACAUCAGAUAGUCCUGUUAUUGAUGCUGUUUACACUGCACUCAAAGAAGCAGAGGCUCGUUCUACAGAUCUUUUACCAUACUGGCAGAUCGAUUUGCUGUGCAAGAUUGUCCCUAGACAGAUAAAAGCAGAAAAAGCAGUUAACACAAUAAGGAAUACCGUUGAAGACCUAAUUACAAAAUGCAAGGCAAUUGUAGAUGCUGAAAAUGAACAGAUUGAGGGUGAAGAAUAUGUAAAUGAGGCAGAUCCUAGCAUCCUGCGGUUUUUACUUGCUAGCCGUGAAGAGGUCAGCAGUUUGCAGUUACGUGAUGAUCUAUUGUCAAUGUUAGUUGCUGGUCAUGAAACAACAGGUUCUGUACUGACAUGGACCAUUUAUCUUCUCAGUAAGGGUCCAGUAGCACUAAGGAAAGCCCAAGAUGAGGUAGAUCGUGUUCUACAAGGUAGACUCCCCAGAUAUGAAGAUGUAAAAGAGCUGAAGUACUUGAUGCGCUGUAUCAAUGAGUCCAUGCGGCUAUACCCACAUCCUCCUGUGCUGAUACGGCGUGCACUAGUUGAUGAUGUGCUUCCUGGAAACUACAAGGUUAAGACUGGUCAAGAUGUUAUGAUUUCUGUGUACAAUAUACACAGAUCACCCGAGGUAUGGGACAGAGCAGAUGAAUUCAUUCCAGAGAGAUUUGAUUUGGAGGGUCCCAUUCCAAAUGAGUCAAACACUGAUUUCAGGUUUAUCCCUUUUAGUGGAGGUCCUCGAAAAUGUGUUGGAGAUCAGUUUGCUCUUUUAGAAGCAAUUGUGGCACUUGCAAUUGUCAUACAAAAGAUGGACAUUCAGCUUGUGGCAGAUCAAAAAAUCAGCAUGACCACUGGGGCCACUAUCCAUACAACCAAUGGACUGUAUAUGAAUGUAAGUCUGCGUAAAGUUGAGCAAGAAGCUGACUUAGCACUGAGUCCAUCGGGCUAG